rnacentral:rRNA from 1 species
GUAGUCUCGCACAGAUGCAUAUCAAUAAGCGGAGGAAAAGAAACUAACAAGGAUUCCCUCAGUAACGGCGAGUGAAGCGGGAAGAGCUCAAAUUUGAAAUCUUAAAGGUCUACCUUGCACGAAUUGUAGUUUAAAGAAGUGUUUUCUGUUACGAUCGUAAUAUAAGUUCUUUGGAAUAGGACAUCACAGAGGGUGAGAAUCCCGUCUAUGAUUGCGAUUUGUAGCUUUGUGAUACACUUUCAAAGAGUCGGAUUGUUUGGGAAUGCAGCCCAAAACGGGAGGUAAAUUUCUUCUAAGGCUAAAUAUUGGCGAGAGACCGAUAGCGAACAAGUACCGUGAGGGAAAGACUGAAAAGAACUUUGAAAAGAGAGUUAAAUAGUACGUGAAAUUGUCAAAAGGGAAGCGUUUAACACCAGUGUUGUUUUCUGAAAAUCAACCUCUGUUAGCUUUAUGCAUGUUUGUUUAGACCUAAUCAGCUAUCUUGCAUGUUCUAUUGUUUGCAGUGGUGCACUUUUCAGUUUACAGGUCAACAUCAGUUUUUCUUUACCGUAAAAAAGUUAAAGAAAGGUAGCUCAUGGCUCCGGUCGUGAGUGUUAUAGUCUUUUUCCUAUGCGGUAGGAGAGACUGAGGUCUGCAGUGUAGGCUAUUUGGCUAGAUACUCAGGUGCUAUGUGAUACCAUUUCAUAAACAACUUGUUGAUUAUGUUUUGUCUAUUGCAUACUCGCUUGUACUAUCAUACCUACGCUUAGGAUGUUGAAGAUGUAGCACAUCAU